GACGAACGCUGGCGGCGUGCCUAAUACAUGCAAGUCGACCUUAGUGGCGAACGGGUGAGGAACACGUGGGUAACCUGCCCAUAAGAAGGGGAUAACACUUGGAAACAGGUGCUAAUACCGGCUACUGAUGGAUGGACCCGAGGUGCAUGAGCUAGUUGGUGAGGUAACGGCUCACCAAGGCCACGAGGCCGAGCCGGCCUGAGAGGGUUAUCGGCCACAGUGGGACUGAGACACGGCCCAAACUCCUACGGGAGGCAGCAGUAGGGAAUCUUCGGCAAUGGACGAAAGUCUGACCGAGCAACGCCGCGUGAGUGAAGAAGGUUUUCGGAUCGUAAAACUCUGUUGUUAGAGAAGCGGUAUCUAACCAGAAAGCCACGGCUAACUACGUGCCAGCAGCCGCGGUAAUUC
rnacentral:rRNA from 1 species